UUUAAAUGUAAAUUAGUUUACUGAAGUAUUAAUAGUUAUGUUCUUUAAAUUUAAAGAUUUUGGCGGUAUUUUAGUCUAUUUAGAGGAACCUGUUCUAUAAUUGAUAGUCCACGAUUAACUUUACUUGUUUUGUAAAUUUGUAUACCGUCGUUAUUAGAAAAUUUUAAUAGAAAAUAAAUUUUUAAUAUUUUAAAUUAAAAAAUAUAUCAGAUCAAGGUGCAGUAUAUAAAUAAGAAAGAAAUGGGUUACAAUAAAUUUAUUUAUACGGAUUGAAAAAAGAAUUUUUUUUUGAAGGUGGAUUUAAUAGUAAUAAAAUUUAGUUUAGUUUUAUGAUUUUGGCUCUAAAAUAUG
rnacentral:rRNA from 1 species